ensembl:lncRNA
CCAGGAUGAAGCGACCGAUCUGAUGCUCCUGAAGAGUAUGAAAGUGUAAGUGGAGUGAGAGAGAGAGAAAGAGAGAGAGAGUGAGAGAGAGAGGCAAAAAGAAAGAAAAAGCUAGUGGAAAGCAGUACGACACAAUCUGCGCCACUGUCUGCUGAGAACAUCGGGUGCCACAGGGAGAUGCUGGUUCUUUACUGUAGUCGUAAGCUUCCAACACCCCGUUGUACAUUCUCUACUACACCAGAGCUCACAACAUCCUAAAGCUGCAGCAGGCUUGAUAAGAAACUCUGCUCUGCCACUGAGUCGCUCUACUUGCAAAUGGCCAGGAACUCAAUCUCAUACACAAGCAAGCCCACACACAGAUGUGUAAACAUGCACAUACACAUAUACCAACUUGUACACACAAUACCAUAUUUUUGGUGAGUUUAUAAAUUAUUUAGGGUGUGUACCUGAAUUUAAUCCUGCUUUGCAUUUUGAUGUGCUGGUAUAGAGUUAGCAGCAUCUCAAUGUGAAAAUGUUGAUGCAGUUCUCUCUCACACUCUCUCUCUCUCUCUCUCUCUAUCUUUCUAUCUAUCUAUCUUAUUUCCAUUCUUUCUUAUACUGGUUGCGGCUAUAUGACUGAUCUAAACGUCUGAUUUCCACUGGGAUACCAAAAGCUGUUUUUAGAUGCUAGGCAAAGGCUUUUUGCUCACUGAGUGCAGCUGUCUGAUGCACCCAUGAGAUAUUUGCUGCUCCAUCAGCUGUCAGUACAGCACUGUACCUGAGACUUAACGCUUAACCAGACAGUCCUCUGUUUCUGCACAGACCAUCUUUUAACUGCUAACUAAAGCUUUUGGCUUUUAGGCCAGAAAGAAAUUACAGCCUACUAAUGAGAAAACACUAAGACGUGUUUUGUCAAGAAUAUGUCUUAACUACCUAUCAAACUGGUCUGCAUUAGUACAAAUUUUACUAAUAUCUCAACAAUAUAUUGUGCUGUAACUGAGGC